rnacentral:rRNA from 1 species
UGGGGAAUAUUGCACAAUGGGCGCAAGCCUGAUGCAGCCAUGCCGCGUGUGUGAAGAAGGCCUUCGGGUUGUAAAGCACUUUCAGCGGGGAGGAAGGCGGUGAGGUUAAUAACCUCAUCGAUUGACGUUACCCGCAGAAGAAGCACCGGCUAACUCCGUGCCAGCAGCCGCGGUAAUACGGAGGGUGCAAGCGUUAAUCGGAAUUACUGGGCGUAAAGCGCACGCAGGCGGUCUGUCAAGUCGGAUGUGAAAUCCCCGGGCUCAACCUGGGAACUGCAUUCGAAACUGGCAGGCUAGAGUCUUGUAGAGGGGGGUAGAAUUCCAGGUGUAGCGGUGAAAUGCGUAGAGAUCUGGAGGAAUACCGGUGGCGAAGGCGGCCCCCUGGACAAAGACUGACGCUCAGGUGGGAAAGCGUGGGGAGCAAACAGG